rnacentral:tRNA from 1 species
CUCUUGCUUAGCACAGUUAGUAGAGCGCUUCAUCAGUGAUGAAGAGGUCCUUGGUUCGAUACCAGGACCAGAGA